ACCCUGCAGCCAAAGAAGCU
rnacentral:miRNA from 1 species